rnacentral:lncRNA from 1 species
ACUGCACGGGGUUGUCCUGUUUCUAUUUCUCAUGUUUAUCUGAGCAUCAUGCAGAAGUUUGAUUUUCGUGACCACUCCAAUAAUGCCUUGGCCACUUUCCCCUUUCCCAUUACCCGAUUGAUGGGAGUAUUAUGACGUUCCUAGUGCUCAAGAUGAUGAGUUCUCUAUCCGCAUUAGUUCCAUCAAUCUUAGUUCUCUUGCCUAAAGUCGAGCCCAAUCUCAAUCUCGUCUAUCUCAACUCACUUCUAAGCCUCAAACGCGGGUUCCAUAUGUAGACGACAAUUCUAUUUUUUGUGAUGAGCCUCAGGGCACGUCUUCCCAUUCUAGAAAACAUCUUUCACGACUCGCGACACAGUCUUAGCCUCAGACUGCACCUUCUUAGCCUCCUCCGUCUUUCGAUGCCUUCGGUGAGUUUAGGAGUGAUCUUGUGGCUCAUCGAGAUCGCAUUUCAAGUCUUGAGCAGAGCAUGCAGUUGAUGUUACUUGGCCAAUAGUAUAUGCACUUUGAUGUCCAACAUGGAUUCCAAUAGACAUAUGGACAUAUGCAACCGGGUUUCUCCAUUCAGUUUUAGAGUCCAUUUGUUUUUGGGGGUGCCACUCCUACUGGUGGAGAUAGUAGACUUGAUGGCUAUGAUGGUGAUGAGUUUGUUGGUGAUAUACCCGAGCAUGACGACCCUACCGAUGAUGCUUGAUCAUGGAGUGGUGCGUGUUCUUGAUAUCUCUUUUGAUUCUAUCUUGUUCUAUGUAUUUGAUUGAGAUACUCUUAUUUUCUGUUUUGGAUCUGUACUUAUAUGCUAUCUAGAUCUCUGCCCUUUCUCCUGCUGUGACAAAAAGGGGGAUUAGUCUUUAGGAAUGGUUUGCAUGGUGGUGCAUGGACACUUUAGUUUCUCUUUCAUUUAUGGUGUGAUUGAUACGCUGAUCUUAGUAGUGAAGGGUUUAUGGCUAUGAUAUUUGUUAUUAGUAGUGUGCAUAUCUUACUUGGUUUUUGCAGGGAUUCUACUGGGUUUUCUAUGCAGGCUACAGGGUCCAGAUGUUGAGUUUGAUCGAUUGGGUUAUAGUUUUUUCUUGUAUAGUGGUUUUGUCACAAGUAUUGACGAAGGGG